GCCAUAAAUGGUAGACAUAUAUUUAGCUAUAUACAAACACGAAUAGAGGACACCAACACUUUGAGAAACACAUAGCAGAUGUUCAGUAGUAGCCAGUCUACUGAGAGAGGUGGGGACGAGAGUGAGAAUCUGUCCAUUUUGGUGAAAGAUGGCAGGUACUAUCCUUUCACUCAAUAUGGUGAUAAGAUGCAGGUGUUUUCCACAAGGAGAAGCAUGCCGGCUUUCUCAGCUUCAACUUCUCUGAUUGGAAACCAAGAUAGUAAAAGAAGUCAAUGGCUUCCUUCCAGGGGUAUGUCUAGCCAUCAUCCCUUCUGACAAAAACAGCCUCCCAGACGAUAAGGAGGUUAAUGCAGACAGUGGAACACGACCAAUGAUUAUGCCGCCAGCCAGGGACAUCCAGACUAGCUCAGACAGAUACAGGCUAUCAUCAUCACACAGGCAGAAUAACUGCAUCAGAAUCUAUGAUGCCAAGCACAUGUGUAUAUAUCAGCAGUGGCUAGCAGUUAACCAGCACACAAUGUACACAAAAAUAUAUAAUAUCCUUAAAGCUACAAUCUGUAACUGUUCCCUCAAUAGGGCUCUGUUUGACAUGCAAUUGAAGGUUAUUUGCGUUUCUUUACAUGACAUCUCAAAUUAUGAAUCAUUAUUAUAAGCCUAGUGUUAUGAAUCAUGGUGAGAUAAGGAGACACAUUUUUAUGUGCUUGCUCAAUAUCUGAUUUGUUUAUUUUUAUAUAUAAAAAAAGCGCAUGGAUUGCAGCUUUAAGUUCAAACAUAUGUUAAUAUUCUCUCUCUCCACAGUCUGCAUCAUACAUUGGCCGAUACACAGGUUAUGUCUACUUCAGGCCAAUCACAACACCAAAAUAUCUUCUGUACCGUCUCACCUCCACACACCCUAAUUGCCUCCACGCAUGAUAAUAUUUUAAUUACAAGUGACGGCCGACCAGGCAUCUAAUUGAGAUUUUUGUGUGAGAAGUGAAAUCUGGACCCAAUGAAGGUUAACGCUCUGUUCUCGUUCGUGUGGGUGGUUGGUGUGGCUCUAAUUAAACCUUAAGUCAUUGUAAUCAAGGAGAUAAUUUGUAAAAAGCCAUUUUAAUUAACAUUAUAUUAGCAGUCGGCAAUUUGGAACAUACUCUUGAUUGUUGUCGUCGCAGCUCACGAGCUUGUUAUUUGCGUCUUUGUUCUCGUCCGGCUUGACUCCAUUAAUAUCAAAGUAAACGGGCAUGGACAGUUACUUCGGAACUCUAUCCGGGCAGGUAUACGUUUGUAUAUAUGUGCAGAGAAACUUGUUUUUAUGCCACCUGUGUUCUACUUUGUUCCCUGGGAGAGCUCAUUAUAGAACCUUUCCAUCUCCGCGGUCAUCCUCAAAAAGACUAUGAACAGCUAUGCGCCGAGUAACAAGGGGCAAACUUCAUUAAAAAAGACAGUAUACAAAUUUCCGAAUGAUGUGCUCUGCGUGGCUGGCCCAUAAUUGGUUUUGAAUGGCGGGCUCUGCGUUAGGCCGGGCUCUGCUGGGAGAACGAGAUUCGGGGCCGUACUUCUCAUGUGUUCGCUCUGCCUUCCCUCUCUUUAGAUAUGACUCUUAAAACAAAUGAGUGCCCUGUUGAAACGCCGUCACGAGUCACGGAUCGCUGACCCUUUUACGAGAAGAGUUGCUAUCGACCACGCGGGCUCAGUCAUCUCAGCCGUUUUCCGUCUGUUGACAUUUUGAUCUCUCUGCUUGUAUCAGAGUGGGCUAAUUGGAGUAAUAGCUUCAGUUAUGCAAAUGCGGCGGCUGUUCCGCAGAGACGGUCGAUGCUGGAGAUUAUGAAAUCCGCUCCUGCGCCGUAUUCGAGCACGUAUCCACGCGUUCUUUAAAGAAUGUGAUAGAUAAGUGCCAUUAUUCAACAACAAAAGCGUCUAUUGAUGUGUGGUGAUGAUUCACUAAUGGUUUGGCAUAAUUGGUGAGCUUCAACAAAAAAGCAUAUCAGUUCUAUUGUGCAAUGCUUUUUUUUGUAUUGUCAUUAAUUCAAGUUGAGGGCCAGAGGGCGUUCAGGAGGUGCCCUUGGCCCUUUAAGGUCUUUAUGCCAGAGAGCUUUCAUGCAUUAGUGGCAUUAUUCCUGUAAAGUAAUGUACUGCAUAUGCCUAAGCCGCUAACCGCCAUCAAAUCACAGGGGCUAUCAAUAUUUCUUUCCCAGAGGUCGGGUUUCAGGCUCAGAGAUGAGGGAUGCUUAAACUACAGCGAGGCUGCCACAAAUGGCUACUUAAUCAGGUUCUACAAUGUGUUGUUGUGAUCCGAGCGGCCCCAGUUUGGCGGCCGGAGUCACCCUAUACCCGUAAUUAUUGUUCUGUUUCUUCCCACAUACUUGAGGGUCCAGCAGGCUAAAUCGCACCCUAAGAGUUCUGUGAGUGAAGGCAGAAGGGCAGAGGAGGCGAGUAAUAGAAAGAGGGCUGUAAGUGAGACCUCUACCCGGCUAACCUAGACCCUAGCUAAGUUCUCUAACCUCAUUUCUCUCUCUUCUUUUCUAUGCAACCUGCUGCCCCUAACCUCGGCGACCCGCUCCACCAAAACUCCUCCAACUUCAUCCAGCGGAGAGGAAAAGCAAUCUCCUCGCUUAGUUGCUGCUGUGAGAUUUGAUUUGCCUUCUUCCCAGCGUGACCAUCGGUUGCGUACUCCGGAUGUGAGAGAGUGUUCAUUGUAUGGGGCAGAUGCACCAUGCAAGAGUUCUCCGAGUGGCAAAGAAUAAAAUAACUCACUUGUCACGCCACUGAGCUUCCCACUCUCUCAAAACUGCAGCAAGCCUUCUCUUUUCACACCACCCCACACUGUAAAAAAUACAACUUCAAAUUGUUCAUCCAACAAAGUGCACCCCACCGUCCAUUCUGUCGGUCUGUGACAUCUCUUCAUCUCGUCUCGCUGAGGCAGUGCUCUGUGUGGCACCCGUGACAACAGGAAGAGACCACCAUGGCUUCCUCUCCUCUGUGGAGCGAAGCACCUGGUAGGAGUGGAUUUAUCCUUCCCUCACCAGCUCAGAGAAACGCAUCACAACGGGUGGAAACGCUCCUCAGCCCGGUGUUAGGUUGCCAACCCCUGAUUAUAGAAUUUCCCAUAGAUCCUCUACCAUCUGCUAGAUUAUAGAUUUCCCCUUCUCUUCCAACCCGUGUGAGCCCUAGGGGAGGCUCUACAGUAUGAAGAAGGUGAAAGAGCGCCUCGGGCUCGUCUUGGCAUCAGGAUGAGAUUACGUUUCUAUUUUUGCCACUUCGACAGCGGCCGUGAUGAAUAUGAGGACUUGUUGACGUUUAAUUGCAGCCGGCUACCUACAAACACAAAUUAUAAAAUUUCAAUCGCAACAGGAGCCCAUGUGACAAAUAAGCUGCCAGAUCCUCGAGAUCCUUCCACUUCAUCACCCGUCAAUUCACACUCAACUCAAUUUGCACCAUUGCGAAUUUAUCUUACUGUAUGAAAGGAAACCAUUUUCAGGGGUGAAUGUUUCGAUAGAUGAUAAAGAUUUAGACUGGCCACAUAUUAAAAAAGUCAAUUGCUGUCACUUUUUUUUCAGAUUUGCUCCCUGAAGUAAUUCAUAAUCAAUGGCAUUUUACAUUUAUGUCUGUUUUUUUACCAUUUUUAAUAAAGGUUCAAAAUGCCACCUAUACAUGUCAAGUGAACCAAUUCAUUGAAAAAAAUCUUAGUAUGAAUAAUCAUCACAGUUAAGAAUAGCUAUCAAAUUAAAUUAACAUCAAUAAUGAUUUCUUAACACAAUA